GACGAACGCUGGCGGCGUGCUUAACACAUGCAAGUCGAACGGUGACGAGGAGCUUGCUCCUCUGAUCAGUGGCGAACGGGUGAGUAACACGUGAGCAACCUGCCCCAGACUCUGGGAUAACAGUUGGAAACAGCUGCUAAUACCGGAUACGAGACGGAGAGGCAUCUCUACCGUCUGGAAAGUUUUUCGGUCUGGGAUGGACUCGCGGCCUAUCAGCUAGUUGGUGAGGUAAUGGCUCACCAAGGCGACGACGGGUAGCCGGCCUGAGAGGGCGACCGGUCACACUGGGACUGAGACACGGCCCAGACUCCUACGGGAGGCAGCAGUGGGGAAUAUUGCACAAUGGGCGAAAGCCUGAUGCAGCGACGCCGUGUGAGGGAUGACGGCCUUCGGGUUGUAAACCUCUUUCAGCAGGGAAGAAGCGAAAGUGACGGUACCUGCAGAAGAAGCACCGGCUAACUACGUG
rnacentral:rRNA from 1 species